rnacentral:rRNA from 1 species
AGUCAGUGACCCAACCGAAAGGAGGGAGCUGCCGAAGGCGGGAUUGGUAACUGGGGUGAAGUCGUAACAAGGUAGCCGUAUCGGAAGGUGCGGCUGGAUCACCUCCUUUCUAGGGAA